GAUGCAGAGAGGGAAGCAAAGUCCCAGGCCAAGAGGAUGCACCUACUCGUGUGUGCUAGACUCUGAGGCCUUUCCCCCCUUCCUUUCCUCCUCCCUCUCUCCCUUCCUUCGUGUGUUUAAUUAAUUAAUUAAUUAAUUAAUUAAUUCAUUCAUUCAUUCACUGGCUGACUCCCUCACUCCAAGAGCGUCCCCCCUGCAGCAGAAAACAAGUCCAAAUUACAGAGUAAAACCAGCCACUUCCCACUUGUUCAUCAUCCUCACCGACCCCUGGUGCACGCAAGAGAAGAACCGCAUCGUACACACCACCUUUUUAAAAACUGUUCUCCUUCCCAGAGUCUUUAUGUCAGAGGUUUUAGCCCACAAAGGAAGUUCCUUGGGUGACCUUUGAUUUGAAUGCAGCCCCUUUCAUCCCUAAAGAGGACAUUUAGAUUUGGACAGUGGGUAAUAGAAGGAAAACGAGAAUGCUGUUAAUACCAGAAUCUGAGCACAUCUGGGACUCUGGCUACUCAAGGAGAUGCUCAUCGUAAAAUGAAAGGAGUAAAAUCUAAAAACUUGUCUGCAGUUUCUGGUUCUGAAAAGAACAGUGGUUCAAAUUCUUUCCAGUACUAAUCACCCUUGAUCCCAAAAGCACGCAAGAAGGUGAGACAUCUUUUUCACCUGGCUCAGGUCUCCUACAGAGAGUUUCUAUUUUCAGCCUAAGGAGAGGAUUUUCACACCUGAGCUAGAUGGCUCACCCAGUCACCCGCUUGAAGGAGGGAUGUACUCAAUAAUCUAUAGAAGUUCUUUCUAGUUCUGAGACUCCCUGCUUCUGAGAAUCUAAUACUUUAGGUAUGAUAAAUAUAUUGCAAUGGAAAGAUUACUGAGUUUCAUGCUAGAAUACCUGAGUUUAAAUACAGAUUUGGAUAAUUAUGA